GUGAGGAAUUUUCCGCAAUGGGCGAAAGCCUGACGGAGCAAUGCCGCGUGAAGGAUGAAGGCCUAUGGGUUGUAAACUUCUUUUCUCAGAAAAGAAUUAUGACGGUAUCUGAGGAAUAAGCAUCGGCUAACUCUGUGCCAGCAGCCGCGGUAAGACAGAGGAUGCAAGCGUUAUCCGGAAUGAUUGGGCGUAAAGCGCCUGUAGGUUGUUUAAAAAGUAUUCUGUCAAAGAUUAGGGCUUAACCCUAGAUAGGCAGAAUAAACUUUUAAGCUAGAGUUUGGUAGAGGCAGAGGGAAUUCCCGGUGGAGCGGUGAAAUGCGUAGAUAUCGGGAGGAACACCAAAGGCGAAGGCACUCUGCUGGGCCAAUACUAACACUGAGAGACGAAAGCGAGGGGAGCAAAUGGGAUUAGAUACCCUGGUAGUCC
rnacentral:rRNA from 1 species